GCCAGCCCGCUCAGAAACUUAAAGGAAUUGACGGGGCCCGCACAAGCGGAGGAGCAUGUGGUUUAAUUCGAUGAUACGCGAGGAACCUUACCUGGGCUCGAACGUAAGAUGACUGUAGGUGAAAGCUUACAUCUCUUCGGAGCAUUUUACGAGGUGCUGCAUGGUUGUCGUCAGCUCGUGCCGUGAGGUGUCGGGUUAAGUCCCAUAACGAGCGCAACCCUACCUUUAGUUGCCAUCAGGUUAAGCUGGGGACUCUAAAGGAACUGCCUACGCAAGUAGUGAGGAAGGCGGGGAUGACGUCAAAUCAGCACGGCCCUUACGUCCAGGGCUACACACGUGCUACAAUGGCCGAUACAGAGGGCAGCUACCUGGUGACAGGAUGCUAAUCUCAAAAGCCGGUCUCAGUUCGGAUCGGAGUCUGCAACCCGACUCCGUGAAGCUGGAAUCGCUAGUAAUCGCGCAUCAGCCAUGGCGCGGUGAAUACGUUCCCGGGCCUU
rnacentral:rRNA from 1 species